UUCGUUGUGGUGCAACGGUUAGCAUACCUCGCUUUCACCGAGGAGGCCGGGGUUCGACUCCCCGCAACGAAG